rnacentral:rRNA from 1 species
UACGAAGGGUGCAAGCGUUACUCGGAAUUACUGGGCGUAAAGCGUGUGUAGGCGGCCAUAUAAGUCGGAUGUGAAAGCCCUGGGCUCAACCCAGGAAGUGCACUCGAUACUGUAUGGCUCGAGUACUGGAGAGGUUGGUGGAAUUCUCGGUGUAGAGGUGAAAUUCGUAGAUAUCAGGAGGAACACCAAUGGCGAAGGCAGCACUCUGGGACGUGACUGACGCUGAGACGCGAAAGCGUGGGGAGCAAACAGG